GACGUAGGGCGCGAGCGUUGUCCGGAUUUAUUGGGCGUAAAGAGCUCGUAGGCGGUCUGUCGCGUCUGCUGUGAAAAACUCGGGGGCUUAACCCCCGGGGCCUGCAGUGGGUACGGGGCAGACUAGAGUGCGGUAGGGGAGACUGGAAUUCCUGGUGUAGCGGUGAAAUGCGCAGAUAUCAGGAGGAACACCGAUGGCGAAGGCAGGUCUCUGGGCCACUACUGACGUGAGAAGCGAAAGCAUGGGGAGCGAACAGG
rnacentral:rRNA from 1 species